rnacentral:lncRNA from 1 species
UGAAUGAAUGAUAUAUGAAGUUGUUUGUUGUUUUUUCAUCUUUUUGGCUAGCUCAGAGUGUAACUUAUUUAUCCAAAGUCACACAACUAUUCCUUCACUUAUUCAGUUAACAGAUGUGUUUCCUAUAUGUCAGGAACUUUAUGUGUUCUGGAGAUAAUGGUGAUCUUUCCUCCUAUAUUGUUGCUAAGGCACAGACAAGCACAGGCAGGUAAUAGACAUAAAAAAUGAACGUGAUUUUAUGUGUGGUAAGUGGUAUUCAAGAAAAUAAGAGGAAUGGUAUAGAAUGUGGUGGAAGUAGGGGGUACAAGGACACUGGCUAAUUUAGAAUGGGAAAAUCCCUCUGAGAUGGGGAUAUUAGAGUCAUGACCUGAAAGAGCUCCAUUUGAAGAUGGGUGAAAAAUCUAUACAAGAGAAAGCAGUAAGUACAAAGUCCCCAGUUUGGGAAGUGCUUGGCACACCUGAGGAGCAGAAAGAAGGGCUGGUGUGGCUGGAGCCUAAUGAAAUUUAAAUUGAGAGGAGGAUAUGUCUAGGCCAGUUUAUGUCAUGCUUGAUAAACCAGGGUAAGAAAUUUGAGUUGUAUUUGAGUUGCAAUGGACAGCAUUGGAAGGCUUUAAACAAGGAGGAGACUUUUUUUUUAAAGACCGCUGGCUACGAUAUAGAGAAAAGACUAUAAUGAUGCAGGGACAAGUUAAGUUUUAUCUAAGUAGUUAUACUGAUUUGUUCUGAGGGAAAUAAAGUAAUGUCCUUUUAGCUGAAUCUGAGCGAAUCUGAGCGAAUUAGAGAAGGAAUGGAAAAAGUUACCAAAUAGUCACUAACAAUGGCCUAAGACUGUGAAUGUGGUGGUCUUGUUUUCCUACUUACUUGUGGCAUUAACAAAGUGUAUUAGCUUCCUAUUUGAAAUUUGUGGAAUAUGUAUAUUGAAAUCUUUAGAGUUUUUUGUUUUAAAUGCUUUUCGGAAUUGACAGUGUUUUUCAGUUAAUUUCACAUCUAAAUUAAAUGAAAACAAUCUCAAGUAUAAUUGCUACUGAAAUUGUCAAAGGAAUUUUACUGAGGCAAAGCAGUGAAAACAUUUGCCUUCUAUAAAGAAGUUAUGAUGCUUGAACUUAAUGGCUAUGAAAGUUAAAAAUUUUAAAUACAGAUUAAUCUCUGUGCUAGUGUUUAGAGAGAGAUGACAUAUAAGAAUUUUUUGGCUCUUCAUGUUAUUUUAAAUGCUCAUGAGUAAUACCAGAAACAGGCUUUAUUUGGAAAUAGAUACACUAUUUAAGACAAAAUUUGAAGAGAUUUAUUUUAAAGUGUUCCAUUUCUCAUUGAGAAGUAUUUUUUUUCUUUGCCUAGAUACCUGGCACAGUGAUGAACUUAAUAGAAGACUCUGUCCUCACUAUGCAUAUGGUCUGUGUUGUGGGUUCUUACACAUAAGCAAACAGGUGAAGAUUAAGCCAGGCCACCCAUGUGGGGGAUCUAGUCCACUGCCAAGGGUGACUUUUUAGGGUGCUUGGGCCUCAUCCAUCCUUUUAUAAUCAAGAUUAUUAAAACAAUGGGAGAUGCUGUAUGCUGAUCUCCAGAAGAACAAAGAAUUAGUCGGGUGUUAAACCAAGAACACUAAAGAUGCAGCAGUAGCCAAAGGGAAGGCUGUAAAAAGAACCUCUGAGGACCCAGGUGACUCCAGCUGUUAAUGUCUCUCUGUCCUUGGAUAUUGGGAACUGAAGCAGAUGUAAGCUAUUUAACUUUGUAAGCCUCAGUUUCUUCUGUAAAAUGGUGACAAUAAGAAAUAACAAUAAGUGCCCAAUAAGUUUUAACUAUUAUUAUGUAUCUACAGCUAUUUUAAAGCACUUUCUGUAUGUAAUCCUCAUAACAGCCAUAUUAGGUGAGCCUAUUACACUUCUCAUUUUAUGACAAAGGAAACUAGAUUUGUUUCAAGAAUGAAAAACCUAGAAAAUUAUAUGUCACUUUAUGAAGUGCCUGGCACAUAGUACAUAGAACAGCUUAGCUACAAUAAUAUAGAUGUGUGACUUUACCUCAUAACUUUAAGACAUCUCAAAUUGAUUCACAAAUCAGAAAAAAAAUCUGUUGUGAGGUGAGGCAUCUCAGUUUUUGCACAUAUGGUUACUGUCAUUGAGGGAGCUCCAUGUCGAGGGAUGCUGGCCAAAGGUAGGGGCAUAUUUAGGCAGUGAAAUUGCAGUUAUGGGACCCCUCUGUAGCACUAGGUGUGUGAGAGGACUAAAAAUAAAAUUCCUUUGAAAUUUCUUAUGGGGUCAGAUAUUACCUCCUUGCCAAUGACUACUGUAAUAUAUUAAAGUAGGGGAUUGAUGUCCCAGAAAUAUUAUGUACAUCAAACAGAAGAUCUACACAAAUUAUUUUAUCAGAUACUGAAUAUAUCAAUGGACUAGUGUAUUAUAGUACAUAUGGGUAUGUUGUUUUCUCCCUUUUGACUAAAUAAACUCUCCCCUCUAUGCAACAGGUAAAUUUCCAGUUUACCUUUUUCUUGCUGUUUUUAAUUUUUUUUAUUUUGAAGGCUUUGCAUCUUUAUAUCUCAGCUGAAAAUAUUACAUUCUAACUCCCCAAAGCUAUUCUCACAUUAUUUGCAAGUAUUUUUCAUAGUUUACAUGUUUGUGUAUUUGUUUAAUACAUUCCACAAGACUGAAAGUCUUGGUGAGGGCAGGAACUCUGUCUAGGUUGUUCAUCUGGCAGCCAGCAGACCCAAAAUAAGUAUUAGUUGAAUGAAUAGCUAAAUAGAUGAGCCAUGGGGUAGCCUAUCUGUUUUAGCUACUGCUUGCCUGGUAUCAUCCUGGGAUGCUGCUUGCUUCUCCGAGAUCUCUUUCUUGUUCUUAAGUUGUCUUCAGUUGUAGUAGUAAGUACUAAUUUGAUCUGUAAUGUGAUAUGUGACUAAAGUUUGCUCUGUAAAAUCACCGUUUCCUGAGGUAUAUUCAAUACCUUUAAUUUUUCCAUAAAUCUCUUCAAGGUUUGUGUGUGUUUUCUUUUAAAUUAUCUAACUAGUUGGAUGUAUGCUUGAAGUGCUAGACAAUAAAAGUUUCAAUAGGCUA